UAAAYGACUCUCGGCAACGGAUAUCUCGGCUCUCGCAUCGAUGAAGAACGCAGCGAAAUGCGAUACUUGGUGUGAAUUGCAGGAUCCCGCGAACCAUCGAGUCUUUGAACGCAAGUUGCGCCCGAAGCCUUCCGGCCGAGGGCACGUCUGCCUGGGUGUCACUC
rnacentral:rRNA from 2 species